GACGAACGCUGGCGGCGUGCUUAACACAUGCAGUCGAACGGAAAGGCUGUCCUUCCUUGCGUUGGACGGGUACUCGAGUGGCGAACGGGUGAGUAACACGUGAGUGUCUGCCCCCAACUUGGGUAUAAGCCUGGGAAACUGGGUCUAAUUCCCGAUAGGACUGCAGGGUGGUGCCUGUGGUGGAAAACGAUUUUCUAGUGGUUGGGGAUGAGCUCGCGGCCUAUCAGCUUGUUGGUGGGGUGAUGGCCUACCAAGGCGACGACGGGUAGCCGGCCUGAGAGGGUGAUCGGCCACAUUGGGACUGAGAUACGGCCCAAACUCCUACGGGAGGCAGCAGUGGGGAAUAUUGCACAAUGGGCGGAAGCUUGAUGCAGCGACGCCGCGUGAGGGAUGACGGCUUCGGGUUGUAAACCUCUUUCAGCAGGGACGAAGCGUAAGUGACGGUACCUGCAGAAGAAGCACCGGCUAACUACGUGCCAGCAGCCGCGGUAAUACGUAGGGUGCGAGCGUUGUCCGGAAUUACUGGGCGUAAAGAGCUCGUAGGCGGUUUGUCACGUCGUCUGUGAAAUCCUAGGGCUUAACCCUGGACGUGCAGGCGAUACGGGCUGACUUGAGUACUACAGGGGAGACUGGAAUUUCUGGUGUAGCGGUGGAAUGCACAGAUAUCAGGAAGAACACCGAUGGCGAAGGCAGGUCUCUGGGUAGUAACUGACGCUGAGGAGCGAAAGCAUGGGUAGCGAACAGG
rnacentral:rRNA from 1 species